GAUGUCUGCCUGUCACAGGUCCAUGAGGAAGAGUGAAAAGCCGCACAGCAUGAGAGUAGGGAAAGAUGGUGUUAAAGCACUCCGUACCAGUGAUAGUGGUCCAAAGCCACUGCUCCUGUGUUGCAGGAAGUGCUCUGUGCAAUCAUCUGGUGGCCCUUCUUUACCAGACUACUCUCAACUAAACAUUCCUGCUGCACCACCAGUUCACAGCUGCACAGACACAGAACAGCAUUGGCACAAGCCAAGAACACUUAGUGUGAAGCCAGGUCCGGUUGGUGGGAUAGAGUUCCGUAAACCUAUUAAC